GACAGAGGGUGCGAACGUUGUUCGGAUAUACUGGGCGUAAAGCGCACGUAGGCGGCGCAGCAAGUCAGGGGUGAAAUCCCGGAGCUCAACUCCGGAACUGCCUUUGAAACUGCAGUGCUAGAAUCCUGGAGAGGCGAGUGGAAUUCCGAGUGUAGAGGUGAAAUUCGUAGAUAUUCGGAAGAACACCAGUGGCGAAGGCGACUCGCUGGACAGGUAUUGACGCUGAGGUGCGAAAGCGUGGGGAGCAAACAGG
rnacentral:rRNA from 1 species